UGCAGUUCGAGCGGACCGACGGGAGCUUGCUCCCUUAGGUCAGCGGCGGACGGGUGAGUAACACGUGGGUAACCUGCCUGUAAGACUGGGAUAACUCCGGGAAACCGGGGCUAAUACCGGAUGCUUGAUUGAACCGCAUGGUUCAAUCAUAAAAGGUGGCUUUUAGCUACCACUUGCAGAUGGACCCGCGGCGCAAUAGCUAGUUGGUGAGGUAACGGCUCACCAAGGCGACGAUGCGUAGCCCACCUGAGAGGGUGAUCGGCCACACUGGGACUGAGACACGGCCCAGACUCCUACGGGAGGCAGCAGUAGGGAAUCUUCCGCAAUGGACGAAAGUCUGACGGAGCAACGCCCCGUGAGUGAUGAAGGUUUUCGGAUCGUAAAACUCUGUUGUUAGGGAAGAACAAGUACCGUUCGAAUAGGGCGGUACCUUGACGGUACCUAACCAGAAAGCCACGGCUAACUACGUGCCAGCAGCCGCGGUAAUACGUAGGUGGCAAGCGUUGUCCGGAAUUAUUGGGCGUAAAGCGCGCGCAGGCCGUUUCUUAAGUCUGAUGUGAAAGCCCCCGGCUCAACCGGGGAGGGUCAUUGGAAACUGGGGAACUUGAGUGCAGAAAAGGAGAGUGGAAUUCCACGUGUAGCGGUGAAAUGCGUAGAGAUGUGGAGGAACACCAGUGGCGAAAGCGACUCUCUGGUCUGUAACUGACGCUUAAGCGCGAAAGCGUGGGGAGCGAACAAGAUUAAAUACCCUGGUAGUCCACGCCGUAAACGAUGAAUGCUAACUGUUAAAAGGUUUCCGCCCUUUAAUGCUGCAGCAAACCCAUUAAACACUCCCCCUGGGGAGUACGGUCGCAAGACUGAAACUCAAAGGAAUUGACGGGGGCCGCACAAUCAGUGGAGCAUGUGGUUUAAUUCAAAGCAACGCCCAGAAACUUAUCCAG
rnacentral:rRNA from 1 species